UACGUAGGGGCCGAGCGUUGUCCGGAGUUAUUGGGCGUAAAGCGCGCGCAGGCGGCCUCGCGCGCCCGACGUGAAAGCCCCCGGCUUAACCGGGGAGGGUCGUUGGGGACGGCGGGGCUUGAGGGCGGGAGAGGGCGGUGGAAUUCCCGGUGUAGUGGUGAAAUGCGUAGAGAUCGGGAGGAACACCUGUGGCGAAGGCGGCCGUCUGGGCCGACCCUGACGCUGAGGCGCGAAAGCGUGGGGAGCGAACGGG
rnacentral:rRNA from 1 species